rnacentral:rRNA from 1 species
UGUUGUAGUUAAAAAGCUCGUAUUCGAAACGAGGAGCAAAUUUAUUGGUGGAGCGGACGGCGUCGGUUGGCGCAGGCGAGCAAUCGCAGGCGUCGGCGGCGUUUUUUGUCCCUCCACCGUUGCUCUUUUAACGAAGUAUCGGCGGCGCUUCGGCGUCGGUUUUACUUCUUUUUACUUUGAAAAAAUUAGAGUGUUCAAAACAAGGAAAUGCCAGAAGUGGCGGCGCCGCAAGGCGCGCGUCGCGGGCGGCAUUGCUUUUAACCUUUUGAAUAGUUCAGCAUGGGAUAAUAGAACAGGACCAAAGCUGUUUUUGAUUUUAUUGGUUUUGCGAAAACGCAAAUACACUAGCUUGGGUAAUGAUUAACAGGGACAGUUGGGGCUCUUGGUAUUUGACAGCUAGAGGUGAAAUUCUUGGAUUUGUCAACGACCAACUUCUGCGAAAGCAUUGAGCAAGGAUGUUUUCACUGAUCAAGAACGAAAGUUUGGGGAUCGAAGAUGAUUAGACACCGUUGUAGUCCAAACUAUAAACAAUGCCAGCCCUGGAUACGCGAAAGUUGAAUUUUGCUCGGUCGGCCGCGCGCCUCUGUGCGCGCGCGCCGUCGCCGAGCGUAAGACUUCGUGUGCACAGUAUUGAGAAAUUAGAAGCGUUUGGGUUCUAGGGGGAGUAUGGUCGCAAGACUGAAACUUAAAGGAAUUGACGGAAGGGUACCACAAGAUGUGGAACGUGCGGCUUAAUUUGACCCAACACUGGAAAACUUGCCAGGACAAGACAAAGUUAGGAUUGACAGAUUGAGAGCUCUUUCUUGAUUCUUUGGUUGGUGGUGCAUGGCCGCUCUUAGUUGGUGGUUUGAAUUGUCUGGUUAAUUCCGAUAACGAACGAGACCUCAGCUUGAUAAAUAGUUGAUUGUAGCAAUUUUCAAGGAACCUCGUUAUGCGUCGCUGGCGCGCGCGAGACUAAAGGCGUCAGCCGGGCGUGCAGCAAUGCGCGCACGGCGGGCGCUCUCACGCGCGCUGCGGCGCGUUCCUUAAAUUCAAUCUUUUCGGCGCCGCGAGGCGUCGAAACACUUCUUAGAAGGACUUUUUGUAUUGAAACAAGAGGAAGUUUGAGGCAAUAGCAGGUCUGUAAUGCCCUUAGAUGUUCUGG